GACGAACGCUGGCGGCGUGCUUAACACAUGCCAGUCGAACGGAAAGGCCCUGCUUUUGUGGGGUGCUCGAGUGGCGAACGGGUGAGUAACACGUGAGUAACCUGCCCUUGACUUUGGGAUAACUUCAGGAAACUGGGGCUAAUACCGGAUAGGAGCUCCUGCUGCAUGGUGGGGGUUGGAAAGUUUCGGCGGUUGGGGAUGGACUCGCGGCUUAUCAGCUUGUUGGUGGGGUAGUGGCUUACCAAGGCUUUGACGGGUAGCCGGCCUGGGAGGGUGACCGGCCACAUUGGGACUGAGAUACGGCCCAGACUCCUACGGGAGGCAGCAGUGGGGAAUAGUGCACAAUGGGCGGAAGCCUGAUGCAGCAACGCCGCGUGCGGGAUGACGGCCUUCGGGUUGUAAACCGCUUUCGCCUGUGACGAAGCGUGAGUGACGGUAAUGGGUAAAGAAGCACCGGCUAACUACGUG
rnacentral:rRNA from 1 species